rnacentral:rRNA from 1 species
AUGUCUUCCGCCUCACAAAACAUCUCCUCCGGUCUAAACAACACCACCUCCGAGCCUCUCAAUUGUACCAACUAUAUCCUAUGGAGAGCUCAGGCCCGUUCUCAGAUCAUGGGGGCGGGACUUUUUGGCUAUCUUGAAAAAACAAUCCCUGAACCCUCCACCACCAUAGUCUCAAAGAACUCCGAAGGGAAGGACCAGACGGAAGUCCUGAUCCAGAUUGCGUCCCUUGAAAAAUCCCACCAAAUCUGGGCCGCCCUUACCAAUAUGUUCACAGCCCAGUCACGAUCCCGAGCCAACAACUGUCGCACAACCCUUUCCAAAGCCCAAAAUGGCACGCAAUCAGCCGCCUCUUUCUUCGGUCAGAUGCAAUCACUCGCAGAUGAGCUCCUCGUGGCCGGAAAACCCAUAACUGAGGACAAGCUGAUCUCAUUCAUUAUUGCUGGUCUUGAUAUGGACUAUCAGCCCCUAAUCUCGGCCCUUGAUGUGCGCACAGAACCUCUUUCUGUAGAUGACCUCUUCGGCAUGGUAGCCAACUUUGAUCAACGAGUAGAGAUGUUCCAUGGAUCGGGGGCAGGGGGCUUCAAGUCCUUAGCCAAUGCAGCCUACCGUGGCCAAGGGAGCUCCUCCAAGGCCAACCGCAACUCACAUAAAGGGGGUGGCUGCGGUGGGUCGCGCGGCGGCGGCACUGGUGGCGGCUACCACAACGGUGGUAGCGGCGGCUACCACAACAAGAAGUCCGACGGCCGCUACAACAACUCCGGCGGCCGCUACCACAACAACAAUUCUGCCGUCGGCCAACGCAUCUACAACAACAAUGGCAAUGGCGGCGGCUACUACAACCACAACCCACCUCGUCCCUUCUACAACAACAAUAGGGGCGGAGGAGGUUUUCACUUUGCCGGGGGGUUCUCUUGUGCAAAGAGCCUGCAUCAUAUAGUCACGGACUCACAGGUGCCCAAUACGACACGCGACAGCAGCACCUCGGUCUCUGCUGCUCGUCCUCCUCCUCCUCCUAGAGUUCUAUCAUGCCGCAGCUCGAUCUGCUGCUCCCAAGCGCAGCCACCUCGUCCCCGACCCCGAGCUCCUUCUUCGUCGACGACCGAAUUCACGACCAGGACCCCGUCACCCCCCUACCUUCUUUCCCCCGUCAUCUCCCUCUUCCCUUCUUCUCUGUUUCUCCCGUUUACUCUCAUCUCCCUCUAUCUCUCUUCCUCUUUGUUACAGCCUUACAGGGAGGCCGCCAUGGACGCCCGGGGUCCUCCGCUCCGACCCUCGCUGUGGCGGCUCUGCCGACGUCGUCGCCUAAGUGAGCAGCAGCAGCACCGUGACGUUGCCCCGCCUCCUCUCUCCCUCUCUAUCUCUCCCAUGUCUCUCUAUUCUCUCUCUCAACCCUCUCUCUUUUCUUCAACAGGAAGACUACCAUGCCCGCUGCAGGAGCUUCGAGCCGACCCCCGCAACAUGGAGACCGCCGCCGCCCUUCCGACAUCGAGAAUCGCCAGAUCCGGCCCGUCUCCGACCUGCCUCGCCGUCCUUCGCCCGUUCCGACGUCUCCCCGGCGCUAGGAGCUCAGGCGAGCGCAGCCACAAGACCCUGACUUCUCUGCCCCAGAUCCCGCCAUGGUGGUCGUCGCCUCUCCGUCUCUAUCUGUCCAUCGCCGGAUCCACGCUGGUGUCCUCCAGGGACCCGCCAUGGAGGUUGCCGCCUCUCCCGUCUCGAUCCGUCCGCCGCCGGAUCGACGAGGGAGCAGCCGAGAUCCGCCGCCCAUUCCGCGACGCCUCGGCCGGCAGGAAGGCCAAAGGCCUCGCCAAGCAGCAGGAGGACUUGCGGCUAGGCUCGCCUGCCGCAAGCGCGCCCGCGAGCUCACCCCCGUGCCGGCCAAGGCCACCUUUGGUGACUUUCAUGUCCGCCGCGCUCUCGUACGCCUGCCGCGACGCCAAGUCCGCCGCGCUCUCGUACGCCUGGCGCGACGCCAGGGGCUUUUUUGCAAAAACGAAACGUUAUAUCAGGAACACACUGAAAAUAGGACUGCGGGUUUAUUUCAAAGAAACAGAGGGGCUUUUUCGCAAAAACGCCGACGACGUACGGGCAGAAGCACUCCGUGCUUUAUUAGUAGGGAAAGAUGUUUGUGUUUGA